rnacentral:rRNA from 1 species
UGGUGGAGUGAUUUGUCUGGUUAAUUCCGUUAACGAACGAGACCUCGACCUGCUAAAUAGUUAGGCGAACCUUUCGGGGUUCGUACCGACUUCUUAGAGGGACUAUCGGUGUGUAGCCGAUGGAAGUUCGAGGCAAUAACA